GGGGAAUAUUGCACAAUGGGCGCAAGCCUGAUGCAGCGACGCCGCGUGAGGGAUGACGGCCUUCGGGUUGUAAACCUCUUUCAGCAGGGAAGAAGCGAAAGUGACGGUACCUGCAGAAGAAGCCCCGGCCAACUACGUGCCAGCAGCCGCGGUAAUACGUAGGGGGCAAGCGUUGUCCGGAUUCAUUGGGCGUAAAGGGCUCGUAGGCGGUUUCGUAAGUCAGGUGUGAAAACUCUGGGCUCAACCCAGAGACGCCACCUGAUACUGCGAUGACUUGAGUUCGGUAGGGGACCAUGGAAUUCCUGGUGUAGCGGUGAAAUGCGCAGAUAUCAGGAGGAACACCGGUGGCGAAGGCGGUGGUCUGGGCCGAAACUGACGCUGAGGAGCGAAAGCGUGGGGAGCAAA
rnacentral:rRNA from 1 species